AUUGAACGCUGGCGGCAGGCCUAACACAUGCAAGUCGAACGAGUGGCGGACGGGUGAGUAAUGUCUGGGAAACUGCCUGAUGGAGGGGGAUAACUACUGGAAACGGUAGCUAAUACCGCAUACCAUCAGAUGUGCCCAGAUGGGAUUAGCUUGUUGGUGGGGUAAUGGUUCACCAAGGCGACGAUCCCUAGCUGGUCUGAGAGGAUGACCAGUCACACGUGAGCUGAGACACAGUCCAGACUCCUACGGGAGGCAGGAGUGGGGAAUAUUGCACAAUGGGGGCAAGCCUGAGGCAGCCAGGCCGCGGGUAUGAAGAAGGCCUUCGGGUUGUAAAGUACGUUCCGUGGGGAGGCGUUACCCGCAGAAGAAGCACCGGCUAACUCCGUGCCAGCCGCCGCGGUAAUAC
rnacentral:rRNA from 1 species